UACGUAGGGUGCAAGCGUUAAUCGGAAUUACUGGGCGUAAAGCGUGCGCAGGCGGCUUUGAAGACAGAUGUGAAAUCCCCGGGCUUAACCUGGGAACUGCAUUUGUGACUGCAUGGCUAGAGUGCGGCAGAGGGGGAUGGAAUUCCGCGUGUAGCAGUGAAAUGCGUAGAUAUGCGGAGGAACACCGAUGGCGAAGGCAAUCCCCUGGGCCUGCACUGACGCUCAUGCACGAAAGCGUGGGGAGCAAACAGG
rnacentral:rRNA from 1 species